rnacentral:rRNA from 1 species
UACGUAGGGGGCAAGCGUUGUCCGGAAUUACUGGGCGUAAAGGGCGCGUAGGCGGACAGUUUAGUCAGAGGUGAAAGCCCAGGGCUCAACCUUGGAAUUGCCUUUGAUACUGGCUGUCUUGAGUUCGGGAGAGGUGAGUGGAACGCCGAGUGUAGAGGUGAAAUUCGUAGAUAUUCGGCGGAACACCAGUGGCGAAGGCGACUCACUGGCCCGAUACUGACGCUGAGGCGCGAAAGCGUGGGGAGCAAACAGG